CUUUAAGUCUUGUGGCCUCACCUAAUAGUUAUUGGCACAUUCUUUAGUUAAGUCAGAACUAUCGUUCACCAGUGGAUGCAAAACUGUCAUUGGGAUCCUCAUCUAAUAGUUAUUGAGCCCAACCCUAUCUCUAUCCCGAGACAUCAAAUGUUAAUAGAGUGAUUGUACCUUUUCGAUGCAAUCGAACCUUGUAACCAGCUG
rnacentral:lncRNA from 1 species